UGACAUGUGACCUAAAGCCAAAUAUUCC
rnacentral:piRNA from 1 species